ACACAUGACAUCACUAAAACUGCUCUGCCUGCAAUAUAGCUUAACUUCCUUCAGCUAUUUCAUGGAGAUUUUGAUAUAUUAUGGAUAUUAGGUGUAUAUAUUAUAUUUUUCCCAUCUUACAGAUUGUAUUUUCAAGCAUUCUCUUUUCUUAUACCUUAACUGUAAUUUUUUAUAUAGUAAAAUUAUCAUUUUCAUUUUAUUAUUACUGGUUUACAGGCCUUAUUUAUAAAGAUCUCUUCCAACCUAAACAUAUUUAAAAAUUAAUCCAUAGCAUUUAUUGAUUGACUUUUGCAUAAAUGAGUCUUUAAUUCAUAUGGAAUUAAUUUUCCUAAAUAAAGAAGUUGGAAAUCCAGUUUUUACUAAAAAUAUUUGACAAAUGUUGUCCAUGCUGUUAAAUAACCCAGUUCUCCCUCAGUGAUUUAAAUUGCCCUCUCUAUCUUUUUAUAUUAUACAAAACUUGAUAUGUAUUUACAUUUCUAAUAUCUAUUCUGAUCCAUUGAUUCGGUACUAAUUCCUAAACAUGUACAUCACUGUCUUGAUUUCUGUUGUUUAGGGUUUUAUUCAGAUAUUUUCUGUUCCAAAUUCUACAUCAUCAGACUUCUUUUUAAAGUAUUUUUCUGAGAGUUCCCAUCAUGGUUCAGCAGAAACGAAUCUGACUAGCAUCCAUGAGGACACAGGUUCGAUCCCUGGCCUUACUCAGUGGGUUAAGGAUCUGGCGUUGCAGGGAGCUGUGGUAUAGGUUGCCAACUCCACUUGUAUCUGGCAUUACUGUGGCUGUGGUGUAGGCCAGCAGUUCAGCUCCGAUUCAACCCCUAGCCUGGGAACCUCCAUAUACCAUGGGUGCGGCCCUAAAAAAACAAACAAACAAAAAGUAUUUUUCUGGCUAUUCUCUCAAGGCUAUAAUGCUCAGUGUUGAUUAGAAAUAUUGGUACAUAUCACUCCUACUCCUUCACAGUUCCCCUGAUAUCCCCAGAUGACCCAAGGAUUAAGUUGAAUUUAUAUAGGGGGGUCUUUCCUCAUGAAGACAAAGAAUAUUUCUCUAUUUAUUUGUCUUUUUUAUUCUUCAGUUAAUUUAAAAUUUUUCUUCAGAUAUCUUUUGAAGAUUUUGUUAUGCUUGUUUUUAGGUGUGGUAUAUGUUGUUGCCAUUAAGCUCUGAAAUUUUUAUAUUGUGUUUUUUAAUUAGGUGUGAGCAUAUUAAAAAUCCAUCGACUUUUAUAAAUUAAUUUUAUUAACAGUCAUUAUACUGUACUCAUAUAGUUUUUAGUAUUUAUUCGGUUUGUUUGGAUAUUCUAUCGUAAGCAAAUGGUAUGACUGAAUCCUUCUUCCCAAUGUUUAUGUAAUGGCCUAGCUAGUAGCAAUAAAUUACAUUUCUAGAAAAAAUAAAGUUUAAAAAUAGCAAUAUUAGGCACUCCUAUGUUUUUCCUGAAUUUACUACUGUUGCAUCAUGUCAUUCUACAUUGCAUUUGUAUUUCUGUGUAUGUGUUUGUGUAUUAGAAAUAGUUAUAUGUCUGUAUUUUGGAUAACAUGUAAGUAGUUUUAAGUUGGUUUUAUCAAGAGUUAAUGUUCAAUUUUAUUAAAUGUACUUUUAACAUCAAUCACAAAAAUAAAGGACUUUCCUGCUUUGGUCUCUUACAUAAUAAUUUUGGUUAUAGGCCUUUUUAUUAAAUUUUCUGAACUGAACCACACUUGGAAAUAUUAAUCUUUACCUCAGAUAUUAGCAUCUGAUUCAAAUUCUGAUUGUGUCACUUAAUACUCUCUCCUUUUCAUUUUCCAUUAUCUAUAAAUGGAGGAUAAUAAUAGCACUGAACUCAGAGUUUACAAAAAUAAAGGAAUUGAUUUAUAUAUAAAGCACUUAAAACAAGUUCUGGAAAAAAGCAUGUACUCAGGAAACAUGAGCAAUAAUUGGCAGAAUUAAUAUCAGAUGCUCUCAGUAAGAUUUGGGAGUUAGUGUUAUGCUUGUAUACAAAGUUUUAGGAAAUACAAAUACCUAUCUAUAAAAUCUUCCAACAUUUUUAAAAUGGCUUUUCAAUUUGUUCCUUUUUUGUUUGUUUGUUUGUUUUGUCUUUUUGCCAUUUCAGCUCCUGCAGCAUAUGGAGGUUCCAAGUCUAGGGGUUGAAUCAGAGCUGUAGCCACUGGCCUACGCCAGAGCCACAGCAACGCGGGAUCCGAGCUGUGUCUGCAGCCUACACCACAGCUCAAGGCAACGCUGGAUCCUUAACCCGCUGAGCAAGGGCAGGGAUCGAACCUGCAACUUCAUGGUUCCUAGUUGGAUUCGUUAAUCACUGAGCCACAAUGGGAACUCCUCAAUUUGUUCCUUUGACAAUGGUUUUGGGGGGCUUCCUGUCUUUUUUAUAAGCAAUUUUAAUAUUUAAUAUUUUAUUUUUAAAUAUCCCUUUCAGCUGGCUUUGCAAAUAAAGAAUUCUCUAUUUUGAAUUACUUUUUAAUCUAUUAGUCUGUCUUCCUAAUGGCAAAUGUGGUACACUUAUGAAUUUUUAUUUUUCUGUUUGUUAUCUAAGUAAUUAAUUCCUUCUCUGUUUUUAUAAAAUAAUUCCUUCUCAUCCAUUCUUUUAUCACUUUUACUUGUUUCUGUUCCUGAUCUGCCUAGCUUUACCAGCUUGAGUACAAAAAUGAGGUCACUUCUAUUUAAUAUUCAAAUUAAAUUGCACAGAGCCCUCAUCUUUCCUAUCCCAAGAGUCACUUUGUAAUUUCCCCUGCAAAUUCUCAAUUCUGUGAGAAUAUUCUCUAUCUCUAGCCCUGUUUGUUAUUAUUUUUAGGGGGAAAAAUCUGAAAAAUCUAUUCAGGCACAUGGAAGCCUGUGCUCUUCCACUGUAAUCGUCAUUGCUCCCUCAGUCAAUUGCAAUUGGCUGACCCUGGCUUCGUGCAUCACUGUCACUAGUCUCUGGAAGUUUAUCCAGGAAGUGGGGAUGGGAGUAGGAGAGAGGUGAGGGGAAAGCUGCUUUCUUCAGUAUUUAGUUUGAUCAUGGGUGAUCACUCAAUAUUUCUAUAGAGAAAUUCAUUUCUCUCUACUAAUAUAUACAUUAGUAACAUAUAAAUACCUGCAUA
rnacentral:lncRNA from 1 species